UCGCGUCUUACGACGGCAGUUUCAUUAGAGUUCCCAGCUUUACCUGAUGGCAACUAAAGACGAGGGUUGCGCUCGUUGCGGGACUUAACCCAACAUCUCACGACACGAGCUGACGACAGCCAUGCAGCACCUGUGUCCAGGCCCCGUAAGGGGAGGAAUCCAUCUCUGGAAACCGUCCUGGCAUGUCAAACGCUGGUAAGGUUCUGCGCGUUGCUUCGAAUUAAAGAACAUGAUCCACCGCUUGUGCGGGUCCCCGUCAAUUCCUUUGAGUUUUAACCUUGCGGCCGUACUCCCCAGGCGGAUGACUUAACGCGUUAGCUGCGCCACCGAAACGCUAAGCGCUCCGACAGCUAGUCAUCAUCGUUUACGGCGUGGACUAC
rnacentral:misc_RNA from 1 species